rnacentral:rRNA from 1 species
GACGAACGCUGGCGGCGUGCCUAAUACAUGCAAGUAGAACGCACAGUUUAUACCGUAGCUUGCCACACCAUAGACUGUGAGUUGCGAACGGGUGAGUAACGCGUAGGUAACCUGCCUGGUAGCGGGGGAUAACUAUUGGAAACGAUAGCUAAUACCGCAUAAUAUUGAUUAUUGCAUGAUAAUUAAUUGAAAGGUGCAAUUGCACCACUACCAGAUGGACCUGCGUUGUAUUAGCUAGUAGGUGAGGUAACGGCUCACCUAGGCGACGAUACAUAGCCGACCUGAGAGGGUGAUCGGCCACACUGGGACUGAGACACGGCCCAGACUCCUACGGGAGGCAGCAGUAGGGAAUCUUCGGCAAUGGACGAAAGUCUGACCGAGCAACGCCGCGUGAGUGAAGAAGGGUUUCGGAUCGUAAAGCUCUGUUGUAAGAGAAGAACGGGUGUGAGAGUGGAAAGUUCACACUGUGACGGUAGCUUACCAGAAAGGGACGGCUAACUACGUG